GCCUAACACAUGCAAGUCGAGCGGCAGCACGGGAAGCUUGCUUCCUGGUGGCGAGCGGCGGACGGGUGAGUAAUGCAUAGGAAUCUGCCCGAUAGUGGGGGAUAACCUGGGGAAACCCAGGCUAAUACCGCAUACGCCCUACGGGGGAAAGCAGGGGCUCUUCGGACCUUGCGCUAUCGGAUGAGCCUAUGUCGGAUUAGCUGGUUGGUGAGGUAAAGGCUCACCAAGGCGACGAUCCGUAGCUGGUCUGAGAGGAUGAUCAGCCACAUCGGGACUGAGACACGGCCCGAACUCCUACGGGAGGCAGCAGUGGGGAAUAUUGGACAAUGGGCGCAAGCCUGAUCCAGCCAUGCCGCGUGUGUGAAGAAGGCCUUAGGGUUGUAAAGCACUUUCAGUGGGGAAGAAAGCCUUUCGGUUAAUACCCGGGAGGAAGGACAUCACCCACAGAAGAAGCACCGGCUAACUCCGUGCCAGCAGCCGCGGUAAUACGGAGGGUGCGAGCGUUAAUCGGAAUUACUGGGCGUAAAGCGCGCGUAGGUGGCUUGAUAAGCCGGUUGUGAAAGCCCCGGGCUCAACCUGGGAACGGCAUCCGGAACUGUCAGGCUAGAGUGCAGGAGAGGAAGGUAGAAUUCCCGGUGUAGCGGUGAAAUGCGUAGAGAUCGGGAGGAAUACCAGUGGCGAAGGCGGCCUUCUGGACUGACACUGACACUGAGGUGCGAAAGCGUGGGUAGCAAACAGGAUUAGAUACCCUGGUAGUCCACGCCGUAAACGAUGUCGACUAGCCGUUGGGUCCUUCGCGGACUUUGUGGCGCAGUUAACGCGAUAAGUCGACCGCCUGGGGAGUACGGCCGCAAGGUUAAAACUCAAAUGAAUUGACG
rnacentral:rRNA from 1 species